rnacentral:tRNA from 1 species
GGAGUUAUACUUUAUAUCAGAAGGACUAGUUUGCAUCUAGUUAGAGGUAAUUUCUUUGCCUAAUUCCA